rnacentral:rRNA from 1 species
AUACGAAGGGUGCAAGCGUUGUUCGGAUUUACUGGGCGUAAAGCGCGCGCAGGCGGAUAGGUAAGUCAGAUGUGAAAUCUCGGGGCCCAACCCCGAAACUGCGUCUGAAACUAUCAAUCUAGAGUCUCGGAGAGGAAUGGAGAAUUUCCCGUGUAGGGGUAAAAUCCGUAGAGAUGGGAAGGAAUACCAGAGGCGAAGGCGCCAUUCUGGACGAGUACUGACGCUGAGGUGCGAAAGCGUGGGGAGCAAACAGGAUUAGAAACCCCAGUAGUCC